CUGGAACUUCGUCUGUUACUUCACUCCCUUUAUUCCACAGGCCUCUUCUCUCAUCCUCACCCCAACAGUUUCCUAUUUGUGGUUCUCACUUAGUUUUGGCAGGUGUUCAUAUUUGAUGUAUUUCCUGGAACAUGUUAGUGGUUUCUUUGGAGAAAACCAACAAUUCACCAUUUCUUUUGGUGGGGGAUUUAUUUUCUGGGAGAUCUCACACCACCCUCAUGAGCUUCUGCCCUAGCUUUACAGGAAAUCAGGAUGAAAUGGGACCAGAGAGAAAGAAAGGUGCUUUCUUGGAGUUGGAACUGGCAGAGCGGGUAUCAGGACAGACUUCACGUAUGCAUGGAGAGAUAUGGAAUCUACAUACGACUGAAAACCUGGACAUAUAUGUCUCAAUUCUAUUUCUCCUUUUUAGGGGCUAGGGGUAGAAGUGACAAAAAGGGUGAUCUCCUCCACAGAAGACCCGCUUCUCUAUUUACACGAUGCACCAUUACCUCUGAAGUAGCCAUCACCGAUCCUGCAUUCUCAGUUAUCCAUAGAUCCAGACACAGAACUUUCCCUUUGUUACAGAAAAUUUUAUUGCAUAGCACCAAUCUGGAGUAUUUUAUGUCCAUCAACAAUAAGCAACUUUUAAGGCUUGGAACAUCAUCCCUAUCCAAGAACCAUGAAACUGAAUAAAACAAAUCAUUCUGAAUUACUCCUGUCCACUCUCUGUUUGAUGAU
rnacentral:lncRNA from 1 species